rnacentral:lncRNA from 1 species
GGCCUGACACGGUCGGACAUACUUUCCAAGAUAGUCUCUAUGGAUUAGGACUUCAAUCUCAUCCUUGAGUCAGAGACAUUCUUCAGAGUUAUGACCAUGGUUAUAGUAGAAGCAAUAGUAUUUCUCCUUGCUCCUCCUGAUCGAUGGGGUUUUUAUCGAUUAGGGUCAGUAAAGAUAUCUCCGAAGCCUCAAUUUUUAUCAAGAUCUUGACGAGGGGGUGUAGUUGUUGAAGUGCUGAGGGGACUCCUCGACCUGAGGCUCUUCGAUGGUCGAGAGAGCCCUUCUCCCAUCAAGCCCACAUGAGGCUCUUCUUGGCCUCACUUCUUAUUGGGGAUCUUCUUCCCUUCAGCUUGCUUCCGCAUGGCCCGGGCUUCCUCUUCUUGUGUGUAUUUUCGAGCGCAUGCAAAUAGGUUGGCAUAGUCUGUCAAAAAUAUUUUAUCAAGAGAGAAGAUGAGGUACUCAUUCUGAAGUCAUCACUUGAGUGCUGACAUAACCACCGACUCAUCGAGGUUGCACAAUUUAAGUGUGGGGGUGUUGAAGUGUGCCACCUGGUCACACAACGACUCGCUCUCUUCCUGCUGAAUGGAGAAGAGGCUAUCGAUAUUCUUCAUCUGGGCUUGGUUGUUACUGAAGUGGGCAAGGAACAGUCUUGCAAGCUGUUCAAAAGAAUGAAUGGAUUCUGGGUGGAGUUUCGAAUAGCAUGCUCGUGCUAAUUUCUUAAGGGUAGCUAGGAAGCCAAAGCAAAAGAGAGUGUCUAAAAUACCGUGAAGCAUCAUGAGGGCUUUAUAGCCCUCCUAAUGAUCGAGGGGAUCCGAAGAGUCAUUGUAUGGCUC